rnacentral:misc_RNA from 1 species
AGGGAGCCAGGCAUGCUCAAUUUGAACUAUCUACAGCAGAUCACUUCAACAAACUGCGGUCGGGUCUGUUUCCAUUUGGUUUCCAGCAGCUCGAUCAAGCUGCACCAACUUCUAGAAUCCCCAGUCACAACUUCAUGGGCAUUAAUGAAAACAAUGAGAAAAUAUCUUGCUUGUUAACAGUUGGAAAUCCCACACUGAGCUCGAAGGAAAACAGUGAAACUAAGGCACAACAUAUUGUAUUGUUUGGUCAGCUCAUUCUCACAGACCAGCGGAGUUCUCAAAGCUUUUCUGGUGAUACAAAUGGAAAUAGUUCAUCGGAUGGAAAUCCAGAGAAGACAGCAAAUCUUUCUGAUGGUUCUGUUUCUGUAUUUCAGCAGAAUGGUCUGCAGGAAAAUUCUUCAGAUGACGGGUCUCCCUGGUACAAAGAUCACCAGAAAACUAAUCUUGGCUUGGAGACUGGUCAUUGCAAGGUGUUUUUGGAAUCAGAAGAUGUGGGUCGAACUCUUGACCUCUCAGUCAUUGGCUCAUAUGAAGAACUGUAUGGAAAGUUGGCAAACAUGUUUGGCAUCGAGAAUUCAGAUAUGCCAAGCUGUGUGCUUUACCGAGACAUGGCUGGUGCCACAAAACACACAGGAGAUGAGCCCUUUAGGUAAUUCUUAUAAUUUUCUUUUCAAUCCUUUUUGUUUCUUUGUUAUAAAGUUGGCUAAGAGACUUUAUUUAUGAUUGUCAUGGCAGUGAGUUUUUGAAGACAGCAAGGAGGUUAACCAUUCUUACAGAUUCAGGCAGCGACAACAUAGGAAGAUAGAGAAUGAGGAACUUAAGUUAAAAUGGGAUUCGUGGAGUGGUGACUCAAACCUGGCAAGCCAGGUGAAUGACGCCUGGACCAAUUCAGACUAGGCAGAAGAGUAUUUUUGGAUCCAACUUGAACAAAGAAUACAACCAUAGACAGAAGACUUUGAGAUGAAACUCCAUAUCAACACAUACAAUGUGUAGAUUUGUUUAAACACAGAGAUGUUGGUUAAGAGCUUGCAAGUCAAAUAUAAUUACACCAAGCAGACAAAGAUUCGUAAGUCAUGGAAUGGCUUGCUAUAUUAUAUAAUCUCUGUAUCUUUCAUUUCUAGAAGUCUUUGACUUCUAAUAUUUUCUAUCUUAUUAAUUAAUACUUUGCUGUAUUUUCUUGGGAUCCCAAGAAAGGAACGUUAC